UCUCUGCAAAGUGUGCACGCACGUGGCCUUGCUACAGUUGCCCUUCUCCUACCUGCUUGGCAGCCAAAUUCUUCAUUAGGAAAUGUACCUAAAACAAUAUCUCCUAACUUCACAUGCUAAAGCAUAUCAAGCAGAACCAGUCAGCACUAUCACAUAGCUACUGACCCCACUAUUACAGGAAUAUAAUCCACAUUUAGUAACGGAAUACUGGAAAACCCUUUUAUAGAGGAAAAAAACAUAAUUACCAAAAUUUACACCAUAUAGACAACAAAUCAUAAUGAACAGAAGUACCUUUUCCAAGAUCUUCUAUAUCAAACACAUUAACAGGGCAUUUGCUUUUGAGUUCUUCAGCAAGGUCAUAUUCGAUAUCUUCCAAUAAUACAACCUAAAUAUAUAAAUAUAUCAUAAUAUUGUAAUAAUAUAGAGUCAAAAUGAGAUAGAAUAAACGAAAGAAAUGAAGAAGGUUUAGAAAAGAAGAAAUCUACAGUUACAGUCUAUCCUUACCUCAGGAAGCAUCCGAUACCAAGCAAUGGCCACUGGGGACC
rnacentral:lncRNA from 1 species